CCAAUAGGGAACGUGAGCUGGGUUUAGACCGUCGUGAGACAGGUUAGUUUUACCCUACUGAUGUCUUGUCGUUGCUAUGGUAAUCCUGCUUAGUACGAGAGGAACGCGCAGGUUCAGACAUUUAGGUUUCAGACAUUUGGUUAUGUGCUUGGUCGAAAGACCAAUGGUGCGAAGCUACCAUCUGAGGGAUUAAGACUGAAAGCCUCUUAAGUCUGAAUCCCGCCCAGAAAUGCAACGAUACUAUCGGUGCCCCUACGCCGGAGGCAACGAUAUACUCGGCCCGAAAUCCGAUUUCGGCGGCCGAGACUGGCUAAAGCCACUGCGAUACUGGCCACACCCGCUGUCUUGAAAUUUGGCAGUGGAGGCACAGACACGAUACCACUUGAUUGAGACGUAGGGGUUCUAUAUCGUUUGUAGACGACUUAGAUCUCGGUCGGGGUGCCGUACUUAGUUGAGCAGUUCUUCACUGCGAUCUAUUGAGGCUAAGCCUUUUGACGGGGAGAUAUGU
rnacentral:ncRNA from 1 species